rnacentral:rRNA from 1 species
UACGUAGGAGGCAAGCGUUGUCCGGAAUCACUGGGCGUAAAGCGCGUGUAGGCGGAUCGCUAAGUCUGUGGUGAAAGCGCCUGGCUUAACCGGGCGAGGUCCAUGGAAACUAGCGGUCUGGAGGCCGGUAGAGGGGGGUGGAAUUCCGGGUGUAGUGGUGAAAUGUGUUGAUAUCGGAAGGAACGCCGGUGGCGAAAGCGACACACUGGAUCUUGUCUGACGCUGAGGCACGAAAGCCAGGGGAGCGAACGGG